AUUUCGCCUUGCAGUCUGCAGCAUACUAAUCUCAGAAACUCUAAAAAGGAGAGUAGCUUCAUAUCUCCUGAUUUGGCUCUGACUGGCCUAAUCUUUUCAAUUCCUUUUCUGACAUAGUACAUUUAGGUAAGAAAGCCUGAAGAUAAAGCUUAACUUGGAAGGCAUUCCCAGUACAACUCUGCUGGCAGCCCCUCUCAGUAGAGUGCUUGUGUCCCUUUUUCAGAGGAGAGAAAAGAGAGAAGAGUCGAAGGGCAUGCCAUUAAGUGCUACCACAACACAACCGUGGCCACACGUCCCAAUACAUCAUCUGGAGCAACCUCCUUAAGCAAUUUCCCCAGAUCCUAGAAGAAUUACCAGGGGACCUGGUGCACCAGAAGAGAUCCUUUUGUGCUCCGAAUGCGACCCCCAAAAAAGUGAGCAGUAGGCACUGAUUUACACCUCUGGUACUGUUUGAGGAAAAUUCCUCUGUAACGGGGAGAUUUCUGGAUAGACACCUACGUGGAGCCUUUGCUGGGAGAAAGGAUUCUCUCCUCCUCACAGACUGACAGGGUUUGACCUGUGGAAGAAAUCAAGGAAUAGGUUUAUGCCUGCUACUCGCCUGGAUGAUCGCCAACCAGAGGUAUUUUUAUAUACGUAAACUG
rnacentral:lncRNA from 1 species